CGGGUAUUGACCCCUGCUGUGCCGAAGUUAACGCAUUAAGUUCUCCGCCUGGGGAGUACGGCCGCAAGGCUAAAACUCAAAGGAAUUGACGGGGACCCGCACAAGCGGUGGAGCAUGUGGUUUAAUUCGACGCAACGCGAAGAACCUUACCUGGAUUUGACAUCCUCUGAUACCCAUGGAAACAUGGUUUUCUAUGCUUGCAUAGACAGAGUGACAGGUGCUGCAUGGCUGUCGUCAGCUCGUGUCGUGAGAUGUUCGGUUAAGUCCGGCAACGAGCGCAACCCCUGUUUUUAGUUGCUAUUAUUAAGUUAAGCACUCUAGAAAUACUGCCUCGGUUAACGGGGAGGAAGGUGGGGAUGACGUCAAGUCCUCAUGGCCUUUAUAUCCAGGGCUACACACGUGCUACAAUGGGCUGUACAAAGGGUUGCCACUUCGCGAGAAGGAGCUAAUCCCAAAAAGCAGUUCUCAGUUCGGAUCGGAGUCUGCAACUCGACUCCGUGAAGUUGGAAUCGCUAGUAAUCGUGGAUCAGCAUGCCACGGUGAAUACGUUCCCGGGUCUUGUACACACCGCCCGUCACACCACGAAAGUUGGCUGUACCAGAAGUUGCUGGGCUAACCCUUCGGGGAUGCAGGUACCUAAGGUACGGUCGGUAAUUGGGGUGAAGUCGUAACAAGGUAGCCG
rnacentral:rRNA from 1 species